rnacentral:rRNA from 1 species
UACGGAGGGUGCGAGCGUUGUCCGGAAUCAUUGGGCGUAAAGGGCGCGUAGGUGGCCCGGUCAGUCUUUGGUGAAAGCGCGGGGCUCAACCCUGCGUCGGCCAGGGAUACUGCCGCGGCUCGAGCACUGUAGAGGCAGGCGGAAUUCCGGGUGUAGCGGUGGAAUGCGUAGAGAUCGGGAAGAACAUCGGUGGCGAAAGCGCUCUACUGGACCGCAACUGACACUCAGGGACGAAAGCUAGGGGAGCGAAUGGG